UCCCUUGUGGCUCAGCAGGUAAAGAAUCUGCCUGCAAUGCAGGAGACCUGGGUUCAAUCCCUGGGUUGGGAA
rnacentral:tRNA from 1 species